rnacentral:rRNA from 1 species
AAUGAACGCUGGCGGCAUGCCUAACACAUGCAAGUCGAACGAAGGCUUCGGCCUUAGUGGCGCACGGGUGCGUAACGCGUGGGAAUCUGCCCCUUGGUUCGGAAUAACAGUUAGAAAUGACUGCUAAUACCGGAUGAUGACGUAAGUCCAAAGAUUUAUCGCCGAGGGAUGAGCCCGCGUAGGAUUAGCUAGUUGGUGUGGUAAGAGCGCACCAAGGCGACGAUCCUUAGCUGGUCUGAGAGGAUGAUCAGCCACACUGGGACUGAGACACGGCCCAGACUCCUACGGGAAGCAGCAGUGGGGAAUAUUGGACAAUGGGCGAAAGCCUGAUCCAGCAAUGCCGCGUGAGUGAUGAAGGACUUAGGGUUGUAAAGCUCUUUUACCCGGGAUGAUAAUGACAGUACCGGGAGAAUAAGCUCCGGCUAACUCCGUG